rnacentral:rRNA from 1 species
GAUGAACGCUGGCGGCGUGCUUAACACAUGCAAGUCGAACGAAGUGGCGAACGGGUGAGUAACGCGUAAUCAACCUGCCCUUCAGAGGGGGACAACAGUUGGAAACGACUGCUAAUCCCGCAUACUGAAGGAGGGGAUUGCGUCUGAUUAGCUAGUUGGAGGGGUAACGGCCCACCAAGGCGAUGAUCAGUAGCCGGUCUUGGAGGGUGAACGACCACAUUGGGACUGGGACACGGCCCAGACUCCUACGGGAAGCAGCAGUGGGGAAUGUUCCGCAAAGGACGAAAGUCUGACGGAGCAACGCCGCGUGAGUGAUGACGGCCUUCGGGUUGUAAAGCUCUGUUAAUCGGGACGCGGUACCGGAAUAGAAAGCCACGGCUAACUACGUGCCAGCAGCCGCGGUAAUAC